UUUUUAUGUAAAGUGUUGACGGUCCUUAAGUAUCAAAUUUAAUUAAUAAAUAAACAAAGAAAAGGAUCCAAAUGCAACCGACAUACAGACUUAGGGUUUUAUCUGACAAAAUUCCACGAGUUUUGGUGUUUGUCUAUUUCUGUAGGGGGUUAUCAGGAAAUAUGGAGGAAAGGCCCACACGUCGGGUUUACAUAGAGAUAUUAACGUGCCGCGCAAUUAUCCUACAUCUAGAAGAGUCCAGAAGCCACGGGAACGAACGGGAGACCGGACGGGCUCGGGGGCAGGGCGCCCGCCCUCCCCCCUUGGGCGCCCGCCCUGGCCUCGGGGCCAAUCAGAGCCAACUUCAC
rnacentral:lncRNA from 1 species